UACAGAGGUCCCAAGCGUUGUUCGGAUUCACUGGGCGUAAAGGGUGCGUAGGCGGUCGGGUAAGUCUGGCGUGAAAUCUCCAAGCCUAACUUGGAAACUGCGUUGGAUACUAUCCGGCUCGAGGAAUGGAGGGGAGACUGGAAUACUUGGUGUAGCAGUGAAAUGCGUAGAUAUCAAGUGGAACACCAGUGGCGAAGGCGAGUCUCUGGACAUUUCCUGACGCUGAGGCACGAAAACCAGGGGAGCAAACGGG
rnacentral:rRNA from 1 species